rnacentral:siRNA from 1 species
AAUUGUUAGUUGUAUGAUUUCACC